UAGGGAAUCUUCCACAAUGGACGCAAGUCUGAUGGAGCAACGCCGCGUGAGUGAAGAAGGUUUUCGGAUCGUAAGGCCUGGUGGUGGGGGAGGAGGGUAAGGGGAGUAAACGGGCUUUAUUUGAAGGUAAUUAACCCAGAAGUUAAGGCUAAAUUCGGUGCAAGCGCCGCGGUAAUACGUAGGUGGCAAGCGUUGUCCGGAUUUAUUGGGCGUAAAGCGAGCGCAGGCGGAAGAAUAAGUCUGAUGUGAAAGCCCUCGGCUUAACCGAGGAACUGCAUCGGAAACUGUUUUUCUUGAGUGCAGAAGAGGAGAGUGGAAUUCCAUGUGUAGCGGUGGAAUGCGUAGAUAUAUGGAAGAACACCAGUGGCGAAGGCGACUCUCUGGUCUGCAACUGACGCUGAGGCUCGAAAGCAUGGGUAGCGAACAGG
rnacentral:rRNA from 1 species